rnacentral:rRNA from 1 species
UACGUGAGGGGGCAAGCGUUGUCCGGAUUUACUGGGCGUAAAGAGCGUGUAGGCGGCCAGGCAGGUCUGGUUGUGAAAACUGGAGGCUCAACCUCCAGACGUCGACCGAAACCAUCUGGCUAGAGUCCGGAAGAGGAGAGUGGAAUUCCCGGUGUAGCAGUGAAAUGCGUAGAGAUCGGGAGGAACAUCAGUUGCGAAGGCGGCUCUCUGGACCAGCACUGACACUGAGGCACGAAAGCGUGGGGAGCAAACAGG